rnacentral:sRNA from 1 species
GGGCGGGACCUGGGGCGGAGAGCGGUUCGCGCGCUUCGGGCCUAGUCCGGACUCGCCGCCGCCGCCGCCAUAUUCCCGUGGCAUCUUCCUUACUUUGCCCAUCCUCCGGACUCGCGAUCUUCCUUCCGGAGCCAUGUCAGAAGGAGUGGACUUGAUUGAUAUAUAUGCUGACGAGGAGUUCAACCAGGACCCAGAGUUCAACAAUACAGAUCAGAUUGACCUGUAUGAUGAUGUGCUGACAGCCACCUCACAGCCCUCAGAUGACAGAAGCAGCAGCACUGAACCACCACCUCCUGUUCGCCAGGAGCCAUCUCCCAAGCCCAACAACAAGACCCCUGCAAUUCUGUAUACCUACAGUGGCCUGCGUAAUAGACGAGCUGCCGUCUAUGUGGGCAGCUUCUCCUGGCAGGGUCAUCUGAGGGACGAGAUUUCAGAGUGAACACCUUGAACUCUUGGUGGUCAUUAGAUGGUCCUGUGAUAAUGGUGGGUGAUGGGGAUUAAAGACCUUGAUAACUCUAGUAUACUUGGGGUAGGUGGUGACUGU